UACGGAGGGGCGUAGCGUUGUUCGGAAUGACUGGGCGGUAAAGGGACGCGUAGGCGGUUUAUUAAGUGAGGCGUGAAAGCCCUGGGCUUAACCCAGGAGGUGCGUUUCAUACUGAUAAGCUAGAGUGCGAGAGAGGAAAGUGGAAUUCCUAGUGUAGAGGUGAAAUUCGUAGAUAUUAGGAAGAACACCAGAGGCGAAGGCGGCUUUCUGGCUCGCAACUGACGCUGAGGCGCG
rnacentral:rRNA from 1 species